rnacentral:rRNA from 1 species
UACGUAGGGUGCGAGCGUUGUCCGGAAUUAUUGGGCGUAAAGAGCUCGUAGGCGGUGUGUCACGUCGGUCGUGAAAACCUGGGGCUUAACUCUGGGCUUGCGGUCGAUACGGGCAUCACUUGAGUUCGGCAGGGGAGACUGGAAUUCCUGGUGUAGCGGUGAAAUGCGCAGAUAUCAGGAGGAACACCGGUGGCGAAGGCGGGUCUCUGGGCCUGUACUGACGCUGAGGAGCGAAAGCGUGGGGAGCGAACAGG